rnacentral:rRNA from 1 species
GACGAACGCUGGCGGCGUGCUUAACACAUGCAAGUCGAGCGGUAAGGCCCUUUCGGGGUACGACGAGCGGCGAACGGGUGAGUAACACGUGGGUGACCUGCCUCCAGCUCUGGGAUAAGCCCGGGAAACGUGGGUCUAAUACCGGAUAUGACUUCAUGACGCAUGUUGUGGAGUGGAAAGCCUUGUGCGGCUGAGGAUGGGCCCGCGGCCUAUCAGCUUGUUGGUGGGGUGAUGGCCUACCAAGGCGACGACGGGUAGCCGGCCUGAGAGGGCGACCGGCCACACUGGGACUGAGAUACGGCCCAGACUCCUACGGGAGGCAGCAGUGGGGAAUCUUGCGCAAUGGGCGAAAGCCUGACGCAGCGACGCCGCGUGAGGGAUGACGGCCU